AGCCUAGCCUGGAUAGGGCGACAGCCUUCUAUGGCGACAAUUAAAUUUGCAUAGCAAAUUUAAGGAUUGUCUCAAAGUAAGCUGUAGACCGAGGGUUCAAAUCCCUUCAGGCCCA
rnacentral:tRNA from 1 species